rnacentral:rRNA from 1 species
GGGGAAUUUUGGGCAAUGGGCGAAAGCCUGACCCAGCAACGCCGCGUGAGGGAGGAAAUCCUUCGGGAUGUAAACCUCACAAGCAAGGGAAGAGAGCUAUGGGCUGAAUAAUCCCGUAGUACGACGGUACCUUGCGUAAGCCACGGCUAACUACGUGCCAGCAGCCGCGGUAAUACGUAGGUGGCAAGCGUUGUUCGGAAUUACUGGGCGUAAAGGGCGCGCAGGCGGCUCUUCAAGUCAGAUGUGAAAGCCCCGGGCUCAACCUGGGAACUGCAUUUGAGACUGGAGAGCUUGAGUUCGGGAGAGGAUGGUGGAAUUCCCAGUGUAGAGGUGAAAUUCGUAGAUAUUGGGAAGAACACCGGUGGCGAAGGCGGCCAUCUGGACCGAUACUGACGCUGAGGCGCGAAAGCGUGGGGAGCAAAC